UACAGAGGGGGCGAGCGUUGUUCGGAAUUACUGGGCGUAAAGGGCGCGUAGGUGGCCUGUUAAGUCGAACGUGAAAUCCCCGGGCUCAACCCGGGAACUGCGUCCGAGACUGGCAGGCUCGAAUCCGGGAGAGGGAUGUGGAAUUCCAGGUGUAGCGGUGAAAUGCGUAGAUAUCAGGAGGAACACCGGUGGCGAAGGCGGGUCUCUGGGCCGAUACUGACGCUGAGGAGCGAAAGCGUGGGGAGCGAACAGG
rnacentral:rRNA from 1 species